ACAGAGCUCCAGUUGUGUCUUGUAAGAAUUGGUCAUUGUUUCAUGGGGACGACUGGCUCCUUUGGGUGGGAUCUGAUGGCAUCUCAUGGAGUUGAGGUCUGCUGCAGUAAUGAAUACAUAUAGAAAUAUAUAUAACUGUCGAGGCAGAGCCCUUCAUAACAGAGCUCAGUAAAGGUGUGUACCUGGCCCAGGAGUUGGAGAAGCUUCAGGAGGAUCCAUCCAGGGGAAGGUGGAACAGUUGCAGGCCCAGCUGCUGUCUCAUGCAAGAGGUGAUCCAGCAGCGAAGAGACAUAUAUAAGGAUAUGGUAGUACUAACAGGAAACCUAGAACUUUAGCUUUCAAGACAUGCUCCUGAUUCUCUUUGUGUAGAAGCAGCCUAGAUUGAAUCACUGCCUUCUUUGCCUGUUGAUUCAAUGGCAUGAGUCAAAGCGGUCAGGUGGCACUCCAGAUCAACCGAGUCAUCAUAUGUCCCCUGACAGAAGAACUCCUCCUUUUGGAACUAAGACCUCUUUACCACCCGAGCCUGAUGUCACAGGGACUGGAAGCAAUCGUUUGUUAGUGAACUGCUAGGGAUAAUAGUGAGAAGAUCCUGUCCUAUUUCCACCCCUUGAUCCCCGUACGCAUGAGUUCUGGCUAAGGAAGAAACAGAAAUAUAUGUUGGAUGCUGAUCUAGAGCAUACUUUGCAUCCUAAAAGACCAUACAUGAGUCUCCAAAAGGACAUUCCACCAUUCUAUCAAGCCAGCUGCUUCAGGGUGACGGGGAACACGAGAAGACUGAUGUCAACUUUUGUCUCGUAAUACACGAAUCUAUGAGUUUCUCUCAGAAAAUGGUUGUCUGCCAACGCUAACUGGCCAGCUCUGACAGGAGGUGCGUGGCCCAGGAGGAGCCAUCAGGCCAGUUCUCUGGGAUACUGCUGUGUCUCCAGCUCUGCAGUUUGCUCUUCGUCACUCAGCGGCAGACGGAGAGGCAGACACGAGCCCCUUGUGAGCCCUCCUCCUUACCGUCAUCUCACAAUGCUCUGAAAUAAGGAGGCAAAUGGCUGAGGUCCCCUCAGUUGUAGAUGUGAUUGAGUUCUAUCUACCAGAAGCAUAUGCCUCCUGGAAGCCUGGUUCUAACACCUCCCACAAAAUCCUUCAAGCACUUUUUUCUGUUCCAAGGUUUGCUUAUGGGGGACCCAGUGAAGUGCUUCAGAGCCCUAGAGAUUUGCUGAGUCAUAUGAGGGGUCAGCAAACUUUUCCUGUAAAGGGUCAGAUAAUAAACAUUUUAAGCUUUGUAGACUGUAUAAA
ensembl:lncRNA LINC03002 long intergenic non-protein coding RNA 3002